UACGUAGGACGCAAGCGUUAUCCGGAAUUACUGGGCGUAAAGAGUUCGUAGGCGUUUUGGAAAGUCCGGUGUUAAAUCUUUGGGCUUAACCCAAAGUCUGUACUGGAAACUAUCAAAAUAGAGGGGCGCAGGGGCUAGCGGAAUGCCGUGUGUAGGGGUAAAAUCCGUAGAUACACGGUGGAACACCAAAAGCGAAGGCAGCUAGCUGGGCGCAUCCUGACGCUGAGGAACGAAAGCGUGGGUAGCGAACGGG
rnacentral:rRNA from 1 species